UAGAAGUUGGGCAAGCAGUCUAAGCAUGCGCACUAAGAGGCAAAAUGGCGGCGUUUAACUGGUAUAUGACCUUCCUCUAGGAACACUCAGCUGGUAAGGGAAAAAAACGCCUCAAGUGAGCAUGCGCACAACUUCAGUAAACACACUGCACGCAGCCCCUUCCAAGUGCUGACGGGCCACUGUGCAUGCGGACAGCCCGCUCCGAAGGAAGAAUCAGGGGAGAAGAAAUGCAAGCCCAAAAACCCUGCCAAGGUAUAAAACCCCAGUCAAGGACCGGAUGGGGCACUGGAUCUCUCAAGUCACCCACUUGGUCCUCUGCUGCAAGGAGACGAACUGUGCCCAUAACCUGAAGAAGCCUGGAAGUGGAUCAUUCCUCUCAGAGCCUUCACAUAAGAAUGCCACCUGGUUGCAUCUUCAUUUCAGCCUUGUGAGACCCUAAACAGAGGACCUAAACUGUCCCCAGACUCCUGACCUCCUGACUGAC